rnacentral:tRNA from 1 species
GGCGACGUGGCCGAGUGGUUAGGCAGCGGUCUGCAAAAUCGCGUACCCCGGUUCGAUUCCGGGCGUCGCCU